rnacentral:rRNA from 1 species
GACGAACGCUGGCGGCGUGCUUAACACAUGCAAGUCGAACGGGAAGGCCCUGCUUUUGUGGGGUGCUCGAGUGGCGAACGGGUGAGUAACACGUGAGUAACCUGCCCUUGACUUUGGGAUAACUUCAGGAAACUGGGGCUAAUACCGGAUAGGAGCUCCUGCUGCAUGGUGGGGGUUGGAAAGUUUCGGCGGUUGGGGAUGGACUCGCGGCUUAUCAGCUUGUUGGUGGGGUAGUGGCUUACCAAGGCUUUGACGGGUAGCCGGCCUGCGAGGGUGACCGGCCACAUUGGGACUGAGAUACGGCCCAGACUCCUACGGGAGGCAGCAGUGGGGAAUAUUGCACAAUGGGCGGAAGCCUGAUGCAGCAACGCCGCGUGCGGGAUGACGGCCUUCGGGUUGUAAACCGCUUUCGCCUGUGACGAAGCGUGAGUGACGGUAAUGGGUAAAGAAGCACCGGCUAACUACGUG